rnacentral:lncRNA from 1 species
GGAGAACUAUAACUGGAGGACAGAAGGGCAUGAUCUAAUGGUAAUAAACUGGGAAAAUUUUAGCAAGGUCUAUUUUGUUCAAAUCCUUCUUAGUGUGUCUGUUUCUUCCAGGAUAAAGAUAUUCCCUUCCUCAGGGUACAGGGAGGGUACCUCUUAUGAACUACUUUACAGGAAGGUCAGAGAAUUCAUUUACGGCCUGCUUCAGGAGAGAAAGGCAAGAGGAAGGUCAGAGAGACUUUCCUACUACUGCUGUUUUCUCCAAUACUAAAGUACCAUAUUUUGGGAUUGCGUGUCCUGAACUCCUUCAACUAAUUGGUACAAGAACGAGGAAGCCUCCGUGAAAGCCAAGCUGGAAAAGAGAGCAUGGUAUAUUCUAAACCAGUGGCUGUACCUUCAUUAGCAUAACAUAAUAAAUAAGUUAUGUGCCUUGGAAUGAAGAAUGUGCUUGGAGAGGGUGAGAAAGGAAUAUCCCUUCCAUGGCUGACUUGUAAGGAAGUGAAAGAAUGCAACCAAACCAUUGUUAAAGUGGAUGUUGAUGGGAUUCUUGCAUUGAGGAGACUGGACCAGAUGAUCCCUAAGGUCCCUCCCAAUGAAUUUCUUAUGAAUUUCCAUAUCUCAUUCACACUACAUCCCACUGCCAGGUAUGCAAAAUGUGUGGAUCUACUAACGUUGCCUCAAUUUUAAAAGCUCACAAAAACCAAACUCUAGCAUUUUUUUCUUCCCAUUUUAAGAAUGUACCUUUCUUCUUCUGGGUGGUUCAUCAUGCCAGCCUCUAUGUUCCCAGGGCACCUUGUACUUGUCUCUCUCUCUCUUUCUCUCAGCCCUUAUCACACUGAAUGGUAAAGAGUCAUUCUUAAUCUGCCUUCUACCACCAAACUAGGAGCUCCCUAAAAGGCAG